UGGGGAAUAUUGCACAAUGGGCGCAAGCCUGAUGCAGCCAUGCCGCGUGUAUGAAGAAGGCCUUCGGGUUGUAAAGUACUUUCAGCGGGGAGGAAGGGAGUAAAGUUAAUACCUUUGCUCAUUGACGUUACCCGCAGAAGAAGCACCGGCUAACUCCGUGCCAGCAGCCGCGGGAAUACGGAGGGUGCAAGCGUUAAUCGGAAUUACUGGGCGUAAAGCGCACGCAGGCGGUUUGUUAAGUCAGAUGUGAAAUCCCCGGGCUCAACCUGGGAACUGCAUCUGAUACUGGCAAGCUUGAGUCUCGUAGAGGGGGGUAGAAUUCCAGGUGUAGCGGUGAAAUGCGUAGAGAUCUGGAGGAAUACCGGUGGCGAAGGCGGCCCCCUGGACGAAGACUGACGCUCAGGUGCGAAAGCGUGGGGAGCAAACAGG
rnacentral:rRNA from 1 species